rnacentral:rRNA from 1 species
UACGUAGGGGGCUAGCGUUGUCCGGAAUCAUUGGGCGUAAAGAGCGUGUAGGCGGCCCGGUAGGUCCGCUGUGAAAGUCGGGGGCUCAACCCUCGAAUGCCGGUGGAUACUGUCGGGCUAGAGUGCGGAAGAGGCGAGUGGAAUUCCUGGUGUAGCGGUGAAAUGCGCAGAUAUCAGGAGGAACACCGAUUGCGAAGGCAGCUCGCUGGGACGUUACUGACGCUGAGACGCGAAAGCGUGGGGAGCAAACGGG